UACGUAGGGUGCAAGCGUUUAAUCGGAAUUACUGGGCGUAAAGCGUGCGUAGGUGGCGUGUUAAGUGUGAUGUUAAAUCGUGUGGCUCAACCAUAUCGAUGUGUCGCAUACUGGCAUGCUAGAGGACAGCAGAGGCAAGUGGAAUUUGUAGUGUAGCAGUGAAAUGCGUAGAUAUUACAAGGAACACCAAUGGCGAAGGCAGCUUGCUGGGCUACUCCUGACACUGAGGUACGAAAGCGUGGGGAGCGAACAGG
rnacentral:rRNA from 1 species